UACGUAGGGGCUAGCGUUGUCCGGAAUCAUUGGCGUAAGGCGCGAGUGUAGCGGUCCGGUAAGUCCGCUGUGAAGUCGAGGGCUCGAACCCUCGAAUCGCCGGUGGAGUACUGGUCGGCUAGAGUACGGAAGAGGCGAGUGGAAUUCCUGGUGUAGCGGUGAAAUGCGCGAUAUCAGGAGGAACACCAUUGCGAAGGCAGCUCGCUGGGACGUUACUGACGCUGAGAACGGCGAAGCGUGGGGAGCAAACAGGAUAGAU
rnacentral:rRNA from 1 species